rnacentral:rRNA from 1 species
ACGUAGGUGACGAGCGUUAUCCGGAUUUACUGGGCGUAAAGCGUGUGCAGGCGGUUGAGUAAGUGGUGUAUGAAAGCUCCGGGCUUAACUCGGAGAGGUUAUGCCAGACUGCUCGGCUUGAGGCAGAGAGAGGGACAUGGAAUUCCGGGUGUAGUGGUGAAAUGCGUAGAGAUCCGGAGGAACUCCAGAGGCGAAGGCGGUGUCCUAGCUCUGACCUGACGCUCAGACACGAAAGCAUGGGGAGCGAACGGGAUUAGAAACCCCGGUAGUCCAUGCCGUAAACGAUGCAGGCUAGGCGUUGGCGGUCUCAACCCCGUCGGUGCCGAAGAUAACUCGAUAAGCCUGCCGCCUGGGGACUACGAUCGCAAGAUUA